GUGUCAGCCGCCGCGGUAAUACGUAGGGUGCAAGCGUUAAUCGGAAUUACUGGGCGUAAAGCGAGUGCAGGCGGUUUGUUAAGCUAGAUGUGAAAGCCCCGGGCUCAACCUGGGAAUUGCGUUUAGAACUGGCAAGCUAGAGUGUGUCAGAGGGGGGUAGAAUUCCACGUGUAGCAGUGAAAUGCGUAGAGAUGUGGAGGAAUACCGAUGGCGAAGGCAGCCCCCUGGGAUAACACUGACGCUCAUACUCGAAAGCGUGGGUAGCAAACAGGAUUAGAUACCCUGGUAGUCCACGCCCUAAACGAUGACAAUUAGCUGUUGGGGAAUUAAAAGUCCUUGGUAGCGUAGCUAACGCGUGAAAUUGUCCGCCUGGGGAGUACGGUCGCAAGAUUAAA
rnacentral:rRNA from 1 species